ensembl:snoRNA
AUUCUUUUGUGGUACAGAAGCAUGGGUGGUGACUGGGGUUUUCACGUUCUCCUACGAGAUGUGUCUCCCUCACCUUGGCACAUUACCCAUCUGAUU